CAGAGUACAGAUUAUGGAGGUAUCUGAAGUUGAACUAACUGGAAGCAGGGAACCAUACUAAUAAAGUUCCUUAAGCAGGUUCCUUGUAAAGAUUAACCCAGGGAAGGAUCGAAAGUGGAGAAGACCAGAUCAAGAAAGACUACAUCAAGAUCUGCGGUCAGUUCAAAGGAUGUUUUGCAUUGGACUGUUUUUUUUUUGGCUUUGACCCUUGCUUGCCCCUGACCUCACUCUUGGACUGCCCUGUUGGAAUUUCAGUUUAUUUAAUUAAAAAAAUUUUUUUUGGUUCUGGGUAGAUGCUAAUAAAUAUUUA
ensembl:processed_transcript